UGCAGUCGAGCGAACAGACGAGGAGCUUGCUCCUUUGACGUUAGCGGCGGACGGGUGAGUAACACGUGGGUAACCUACCUAUAAGACUGGGAUAACUUCGGGAAACCGGAGCUAAUACCGGAUAAUAUUUCGAACCGCAUGGUUCGAUAGUGAAAGAUGGCUUUGCUAUCACUUAUAGAUGGACCUGCGCCGUAUUAGCUAGUUGGUAAGGUAACGGCUUACCAAGGCAACGAUACGUAGCCGACCUGAGAGGGUGAUCGGCCACACUGGAACUGAGACACGGUCCAGACUCCUACGGGAGGCAGCAGUAGGGAAUCUUCCGCAAUGGGCGAAAGCCUGACGGAGCAACGCCGCGUGAGUGAUGAAGGUCUUCGGAUCGUAAAACUCUGUUAUUAGGGAAGAACAAACGUGUAAGUAACUGUGCACGUCUUGACGGUACCUAAUCACAAAGCCACGGCUAACUACGUGCCAGCAGCCGCGGUAAUACGUAGGUGGCAAGCGUUAUCCGGAAUUAUUGGGCGUAUAGCGCGCGUAGGCGGAUUUUUAAGUCUGAUGUGAAAGCCCACGGCUCAACCGUGUGGGUCAUUGUAUACUGGAAAACUUGAGUGCAGAGAGGAAGUGGGAUUCCAUG
rnacentral:rRNA from 1 species